UACGAAUCGUCCAAACGUUGUUCGGAUUCACUGGGUUUAAAGGGCGCGUAGGCGGUGCGUUAAGUCGGCGGUGAAAUACUUCGGCUCAACCGGAGAAUUGCCGCUGAAACUGGCGUGCUCGAGGGAGGUAGAGGUGCGUGGAACUUCCGGUGGAGCGGUGAAAUGCGUUGAUAUCGGAAGGAACACCUGUGGCGAAAGCGGGUUGCUGGGCUGACACUGACGCUGAUGCGCGAAAGCGUGGGGAGCAAACAGG
rnacentral:rRNA from 1 species